rnacentral:lncRNA from 1 species
UUGCAGUUCAAUCAGCUGCUGGCAGCCUGUGCAGCACUGAAAGGAGAGGGAAAGGGAAGGGAAAGGAAAGGGAAAGGGAAAGGGAAAGGGAAAGGGAAAGGAAAGGGAAAGGGAAAGGGAAAGGGAAAGGGAAAGGAAAGGGAAAGGGAAAGGGAAAGGGAAAGGGAAAGGAAAGGGAAAGGGAAAGGGAAAGGGAAAGGGAAAGGAAAGGGAAAGGGAAAGGGAAAGGGAAAGGGAAAGGAAAGGGAAAGGGAAAGGGAAAGGGAAAGGGAAAGGAAAGGGAAAGGGAAAGGGAAAGGGAAAGGGAAAGGAAAGGGAAAGGGAAAGGGAAAGGGAAAGGGAAAGGAAAGGGAAAGGGAAAGGGAAAGGGAAAGGAAAGGGGAAAGGGAAAGGAAAGGAAAGGAAAGGAAAGGAAAGGAAAGGAAAGGAAAGGAAAGGAAAGGAAAGGAAAGGAAAGGAAAGGAAAGGAAAGGAAAGGAAAGGAAAGGAAAGGAAAGGAAAGGAAAGGAAAGGAAAGGAAAGGAAAGGAAAGGAAAGGAAAGGAAAGGAAAGGAAAGGAAAGGAAAGGAAAGGAAAGGAAAGGAAAGGAAAGGAAAGGAAAGGAAAGGAAAGGAAAGGAAAGGAAAGGAAAGGAAAGGAAAGGAAAGGAAAGGAAAGGAAAGGAAAGGAAAGGAAAGGAAAGGAAAGGAAAGGAACUGCUGCCCCCUGCUGGCGGCGGGCGGACACCGCGGGACGGGCGGGACACCGAGCACACCUGGAGCACACCUGGAGCACACCUGGCACACACCCUGCAGAAGCCUCGCACACAGCUGGCACACAGCUGGCACCCUCCAGAGCCCGCCCACCUGCUGGAGCCACCCCCGGCUUUCCCCCAGGGCGGUGCCCCCGGGCCGUGUCAGAACCAGACCCUGCUGCUGCUGCUCUCGGUGCCCAGGAGAGGCUGGUGGCCAGGGCAGACACCUGCACUCACCCCCCCUGGGGCUGAGCCCAGGAAGCGUAUUUAAGAAGGGGGAAUUAAGGACAGGGGGAUGCAGGCUGAGCCCCGCCUGCAGCUCAGCCAGUCCUCCCCCUGCUCGUGGCCCACCCAGAGCCCUGCUAGCUGUGGCUGCAGCUGGCCCACCUCGAGGAUGGAUGAUGGAUCAAUUCAGGGAGCUCUCUGCCUCUCCACGCUGCCACCAUGGGAGGAAAGCAAAGCCAUGA